CCAAUAGCGUAUAUUAGUGUUGUUGCGGUUAAAAAGCUCGUGGUUGAAUUUCGGGAUUGGGAUAUAUCGGUCAUGCCUUUAGGGGCAUGAAUCGGUGUGUAGCCAAUUUCUCACCUUCUGGUGAAUUGGGAUGCUCUUGGGUGUUUCAAUGAACUAGGACUUUUACUUUGAAAAAAAUAUAGUGUUUAAAGCGGGCAUUU
rnacentral:rRNA from 1 species